rnacentral:rRNA from 1 species
UACGGAGGGGGCUAGCGUUAUUCGGAAUUACUGGGCGUAAAGGGUGCGUAGGUGGUUUGGUAAGUUAGAUGUGAAAUUCCUGGGCUUAACCUGGGGACUGCGUCUGAUACUGCUGAGCUAGAGUACUGUAGAGGGAAGUGGAAUUUCCGGUGUAGCGGUGAAAUGCGUAGAUAUCGGAAGGAACAUCAGUGGCGAAGGCGACUUCCUGGACAGAUACUGACACUGAGGCACGAAAGCAUGGGUAGCAAACAGG